rnacentral:tRNA from 1 species
CGCCAUCUGGUAGAACAGGGUCUUGGCCGGCGCGGCUUCCGACAGCGCGGUGCGGCGGAUCGCCACCGUGGUGGCGCCC